rnacentral:rRNA from 1 species
AACGAACGCUGGCGGCAGGCUUAACACAUGCAAGUCGAACGAUGUAGCAAUACAUAGUGGCGCACGGGUGAGUAACGCGUGGGAAUAUACCGAGUAGUGGGGAAUAACUUUGGGAAACUAAAGCUAAUACCGCAUACGCCCGAGAGGGGAAAGAUUUAUCGCUAUUCGAUUAGCCCGCGUGAGAUUAGGUAGUUGGUGGGGUAAUGGCCUACCGAGCCGACGAUCUCUAGCUGGUCUGAGAGGAUGAUCAGCCACACUGGAACUGAGACACGGUCCAGACUCCUACGGGAGGCAGCAGUGGGGAAUUUUGGACAAUGGGCGCAAGCCUGAUCCAGCCAUGCCGCGUGAGUGAAGAAGGUCUUCGGAUUGUAAAGCUCUUUUGCCAGGGACGAUAAUGACGGUACCUGACUAAGAAGCCCCGGCUAACUACGUGCCAGCCGCCGCGGUAA